rnacentral:lncRNA from 1 species
CCGCCGUCGCCGUGCCAACCACGGAGCCACCGCGUACGGCGCUCGAAACCAGGUAAACGUCCUUUCUUUCUUUAUAUAUAUAUAUAUUAAAAAUAUAUGAAACAAAGAUCAGAAAAAAAAUGAAGAAAAUUCGAAAAAAGGAAAAGCAAAUCACCCUUAAAUUGCUAUCUCUCUCUGUUCUUCAAUAGUUUUCGACACAAUAUUCCUCACACCAAUUUUGUAUCCAUUUUCUCCCCCCUUUUACCGAUUGAAAAUCGACCUUUUAUUCCCCCAAAAUAACAGACCAAAAAAAACUCUCCAAAAACCCCCUUACAUUUGUUGUAAUUUCCCCUUUUAUCUUCUGUUACCCCAUUUUCCUUGCUUUUGCUGCAGUUUGUGAUCCGUUUCAGGGACACGGGAGGAGACGUGCGUGGAAACUGCAACCACUGGCACACACGCGCGAAACUGCUACUAGGGUUUCCUGAUCCUUCCUCUGCUAUUGGUUUCGGGCUACUGUUUGGGCUCAUUUGGGUUUAGUCUAGGCUUGGGUUAAUUGGGUUUAGUAAUGGACUGUUAAUUAUUUAGUUUUUUAGCCAGGCCAAAAUUGGCCUAUUACGUAUAUUUUAUUUCUUUUUUUUUUUUGUCAUUUUAUUUGACAAGUUGUUACAUACAUAGUCAAUUAUAAGCAGGAAAAAAAACUCAAACUGCCAUUUCUCAGUCAUUCCUCAAAUUAGUAGUAUUGUUGGAGUAUUAAAUUGAUAGAAUUUAGAUUAAAUUUGCUGCAUUAUUUAGAAUUAGAGCUUAUUUGAUUGAAUGUAUAAGUAUUAAGGACUAAAUAUAUUAUUAUACCAAGUAAAAAAAGCUCACCCCACC